UUUUUACAAUGAAUGGUCACUCAACUUGCUCAAAACCCCUUCCAUCCAUCACUACGCGUUCACCCGUUUGAUGUGCUUCCCAGGUGGCCAGACGGAGUUCGGAGUGACAAGAAACGGAGUCAUAACAUUGCCACGUGAAGAGUUGUGUCUCUGAAAACAACGAUUUCACCCUAAAAAUGAAAAACCCACUUCAAAUCAACGAGCCCUAAUCUUCCAAACCUCAAACGAACCCUAUAAAUCCCUCCUAAAACUCAAGAUUCAAUCCCUCCCAAACCUCAAACGAACCUUAGAAAUCAAUUUAGGAAAACUACCUCGCUUCAUCUCUGCUACAUCAGCGAAUGGAGAAGCGUAUUAUGUGGUCGUAUGAAGCAUAUUCUUAGCGGCUAGUUGUCUGAUUCUUCUCUCUUUCCUGGGGGUGGUAGGAAUGAGAAAGCUUCUUCAUCCCUCUGAUCAGUGAAGCCUGACCACGUCUGAAGGGGUGUUGAUUCACACACAUGGAUGGAGCGGAAGGAGGAAUGGUUCGAAGCUGAAUUAAAGCCAGUUGAAUCAAAUUGCAACGUAGUGGUCAGCGAGCAAGUGAGUAAAUAUCAAGUUCUUUUUUACCUCAUUCGGUACAUUUGCUCUUUGUAAUAAGACAUUUGCUGCGUUCGUUGUGUAUUCUACGACAAAUUAGUCUCGUCAAGGGGUAAGAGAUCGACGUCGAUUGAAAAUGCAUUUGAAGAACUACCAAUAAGGUUCAUGUCAACCCCCUUAGUUCAUAAGGACACACACACACAACCAAGGGAAGACCAGGCCCAACAGCGAAUAGACCAACAUAUUAUGAAUAAAGGAAAUUUCUACCUUUUGUCAUGGUUGUGUAUGGUGGAUUUUGAUGGUUUUUGGCCUUGAUUUUUGUCCAGAUAGUUUUGAUAAUGUUUUGCUUGAUUUUUUUAGCUAGAAUUUCAUGUGAAUGUUUGGAUGGUUGUAUAUGGUAGCUUUUGAUGGCUUUGUCUGGAUGAUGGAAGUACUUUAAGUUGGAAAUAUAUUCAUGCUUCCAAUUUCAUGUUUAUUGGUUUCGUUUAACUGAAGACUAUGCUAUACUUGAUAUUUGAUUUCAUGAUGUUGUGAUUUCUAAAGAACAAUCUC